rnacentral:rRNA from 1 species
AGUUAAGUGACUAAGCGUACACGGUGGAUGCCUAGGCAAUCAGAGGCGAAGAAGGACGUGCUAAUCUGCGAAAAGCUUGGAUGAGUUGAUAAGAAGCGUUUAAUCCAAGAUAUCCGAAUGGGGAAACCCGAUGGAUGAAGAAUCCAUCAUUUCAUUAUGAAUCCAUAGUAAUGAAAGGCAAACCGGGAGAACUGAAACAUCUAAGUACCCCGAGGAAAAGAAAUCAAUCGAGAUUUUGUAAGUAGCGGCGAGCGAAAGCGAAAGAGCCAGUGAGUGAUAGCAGCAAAGACAGAAGAAUUGGCUGGGAAGCCAAGCGACACAGGGUGAUAGCCCCGUAUUCGAAGUUUUUGUUGUGGUACUAAGCUUGCAACAAGUAGGGCGGGACACGAGAAAUCCUGUUUGAAGAUGGGGGGACCAUCCUCCAAGGCUAAAUACUCCUGAUUGACCGAUAGUGAACCAGUACUGUGAAGGAAAGGCGAAAAGAACCCCAGUGAGGGGAGUGAAAUAGAACCUGAAACCGUGUACGUACAAGCAGUGGGAGCCCUUUGGGGUGACUGCGUACCUUUUGUAUAAUGGGUCAGCGACUUAUAUUUUGUAGCGAGGUUAACUGAAUAAGGGAGCCGAAGGGAAACCGAGUCUUAACUGGGCGGAUAGUUGCAAGGUAUAGACCCGAAACCCGGUGAUCUAGCCAUGGGCAGGUUGAAGGUUGGGUAACACUAACUGGAGGACCGAACCGACUAAUGUUGAAAAAUUAGCGGAUGACUUGUGGCUGGGGGUGAAAGGCCAAUCAAACCGGGAGAUAGCUGGUUCUCCCCGAAAUCUAUUUAGGUAGAGCCUUAUGUGAAUACCUUCGGGGGUAGAGCACUGUUUCGGCUAGGGGUCCAUCCCGGAUUACCAACCCGAUGCAAACUGCGAAUACCGAAGAGUAAUGCAUAGGAGACACACGGUGGGUGCUAACGUCCAUCGUGGAGAGGGAAACAACCCAGACCGCCAGCUAAGGUCCCAAAGUCUAUAUUAAGUGGGAAACGAAGUGGGAAGGCUUAGACAGCUAGGAUGUUGGCUUAGAAGCAGCCAUCAUUUAAAGAAAGCGUAAUAGCUCACUAGUCGAGUCGGCCUGCGCGGAAGAUGUAACGGGGCUAAAAUAUAGCACCGAAGCUGCGGCAUCAGACGUAUCACUAAUACGCCUUACGAUUAACAACAUCGAAUGAAGUGAAACGGAAAGAGAUGUUGGUCAAGCAACCCGAACGUUGAGUCGGAAAGUAAUCGAAGAGAGGAUUAUUAGUGAUACGUCUGUUGGGUAGGGGAGCGUUGUGUAAGCGGAUGAAGGUGAAUCGAGAGGUUUGCUGGACGUAUCACAAGUGCGAAUGCUGACAUAAGUAACGAUAAAACGAGUGAAAAACUCGUUCGCCGGAAGACCAAGGGUUCCUGUCCAACGUUAAUCGGGGCAGGGUGAGUCGGCCCCUAAGGCGAGGCUGAAAAGCGUAGUCGAUGGGAAACGGGUUAAUAUUCCCGUACUUGGUNNNNNNNNNNNNNNNNNNNNNNNNNNNNNNNNNNNNNNNNNNNNNNNNNNNNNNNNNNNNNNNNNNNNNNNNNNNNNNNNNNNNNNNNNNNNNNAAGAUAAACCGUACUGAAAACCGACACAGGUGGUCAGGUAGAGAAUACUCAGGCGCUUGAGAGAACUCGGGUGAAGGAACUAGGCAAAAUAGCACCGUAACUUCGGGAGAAGGUGCGCUGGCGUAGGUUGUAGGAGUAUACCUCCGAAGGCUGAACCAGUCGAAGAUACCAGCUGGCUGCAACUGUUUAUUAAAAACACAGCACUCUGCAAACACGAAAGUGGACGUAUAGGGUGUGAUGCCUGCCCGGUGCUGGAAGGUUAAUUGAUGGUGUUAUCGAAAGAGAAGCUCCUGAUCGAAGCCCCAGUAAACGGCGGCCGUAACUAUAACGGUCCUAAGGUAGCGAAAUUCCUUGUCGGGUAAGUUCCGACCUGCACGAAUGGCAUAAUGAUGGCCAGGCUGUCUCCACCCGAGACUCAGUGAAAUUGAAAUCGCCGUGAAGAUGCGGUGUACCCGCGGCUAGACGGAAAGACCCCGUGAACCUUUACUAUAGCUUGACACUGAACAUUGAAUUUUGAUGUGUAGGAUAGGUGGGAGCCUAAGAAGCAGUCACGCCAGUGAUUGUGGAGGCGUCCUUGAAAUACCACCCUUUAACGUUUGAUGUUCUAACGAAGAUUGCGAAACGCGGUCUCGGACAGUGUCUGGUGGGUAGUUUGACUGGGGCGGUCUCCUCCCAAAGAGUAACGGAGGAGCACGAAGGUUUGCUAAUCACGGUCGGACAUCGUGAGGUUAGUGCAAUGGUAUAAGCAAGCUUAACUGCGAGACAGACAAGUCGAGCAGGUGCGAAAGCAGGUCAUAGUGAUCCGGUGGUUCUGAAUGGAAGGGCCAUCGCUCAACGGAUAAAAGGUACUCCGGGGAUAACAGGCUGAUACCGCCCAAGAGUUCAUAUCGACGGCGGUGUUUGGCACCUCGAUGUCGGCUCAUCACAUCCUGGGGCUGAAGUAGGUCCCAAGGGUAUGGCUGUUCGCCAUUUAAAGUGGUACGCGAGCUGGGUUUAGAACGUCGUGAGACAGUUCGGUCCCUAUCUGCCGUGGGCGUUGGAGAAUUGAGAGGGGCUGCUCCUAGUACGAGAGGACCGGAGUGGACGCAUCACUGGUGUACCAGUUGUCUCGCCAGAGGCACUGCUGGGUAGCUAAAUGCGGAAGAGAUAAGUGCUGAAAGCAUCUAAGCACGAAACUC